ensembl:lncRNA
CACAGCUCCAACACCACCUCACACACACAGCUCAAACACCACCUCACACACACACACACACACACACACACACACACACAGCUCCAACAGCAUCCUCCUCUUCCUCUUCCUCUUCCUCUUCCUCCUCGCUUUAAAGAAAGACAAUGACUCUUCAGGCUUCUUUGGAGGAUCUGUAAAGGGUGCUGUGAAGAACACAAGGAGUUAUGCCUAAUUCCUCAGGGCCAUAGACAGGCCCUUUAAAGAUGCAUCGCAACCAUGUUCACUUCCUGAGUCUCAACCAUGUUCACUUCCUGUUCACUUCCUGAGUUUCAACCAUGUUCACUUCCUGAGUUUCAACCAUGUUCACUUCGUGUUUAAACCAUGUUCACUUCCUGAGUUUCAACCAUGUUCACUUCCUGAGUUUCAACCAUGUUCACUUCCUGUUCACUUCCUGGGUUUAAACCAUGUUCACUUCAUGUUCACUUCCUGAGUUUCAACCAUGUUCACUUCCUGUUCACUUCCUGGGUUUCAACCAUGUUCACUUCCUGGGUUUCUCCCCAACAGCAUUAUUGGGACAGAAGUGGAUCCCAUGUCAGAUGAUGUUGAACUGAUGAGCUUCACUGAGGCGCAUUGCUAAGGGGUAGCAUUACUGCUAAACAGAGUGUGCUAGCGGUAGCAUUACUGCUAAACAGAGUGUGCUAGGGGUAGCAUUACUGCUAAACAGAGUGUGGUGAAUACAGCAUUACUGCUAAACAGAGUGUGCUAGCGGUAGCAUUACUGCUAAACAGAGUGUGUUGAAUACAGCAUUACUGCUAAACAGAGUGUGCUAGCGGUAGCAUUACUGCUAAACAGAGUGUGCUAGCGGUAGCAUUACUGCUAAACAGAGUGUGGUGAAUACAGCAUUACUGCUAAACAGAGUGUGCUAGCGGUAGCAUUACUGCUAAACAGAGUGUGCUAGCGGUAGCAUUACUGCUAAACAGAGUGUGGUGAACACAGCAUUACUAACCCUAGAACACGAGUCAUUUAUCAUUUAAUGAGAAGGUCAGAACAUUUAGCUUUCUACAUAGUUUCUGAAAAUGUGUGGAUUUGUGCAUAAAUGUGAAUCGAUAUGUAGAAUAAAAGGGAUUCAUUGCAUAGCUGUAAAACACUCAACAAUACUAUUGAGGUUGGAGUGUGCAUUAGUCUUAAAGGUUGUUGCUAAUAGUUCUCAUAUUUAGGAGCAUACCCACAUAGCUUUGUUGUUGGUAAUAUUUCUCAUAUUUAAGAGCAUAACCACAUAGCUUUGUUGUUGCUAAUAUUUAUCAUAUUUAAGAGCAUAACAUUUACAUUUAG